CAGGUAGGGACUCCUCGAACCGGAGUGAUACUGAUUUGGGAGGAAGCGGAUCUUAAGCUAUUUAUAGGGUGGGGGCUAUGGGAGGUCCAAAGUAACAAGGAUCCCUUGAGGCGGUUUUAAAGGAAUGAGCCUCCCCUUCCGUUGGCUGCAGUGGAAACGCCCACAGGCUGGGAGACCCAAGACCGCUCCAGGGCUGUGGCCCGGAGGCACGUGGGUGUCCGAGUGGAAGACAGCAUCCGUGUGUGCGUGUGAGUGGACGUGUGAAUCCGGCAAAGGGUGUCCGCCCCCGACGCCGUCGGCGGGACAUGUUGCGUUAAACGAAAUUAAGCGCGAUAAAGCCCCCACUGUGUGCUAUGGCGAUGCUGAGGAAGACGACGUCCCUUUCCUCAAGAAUGUUAUCCUCAGGCAAAGGGGGCCGAAGGUGGCAAGAGAAAUCAGACCUAAAGCUUUACAAGAAGGUAACACUGUUCCAGGCGUCUUUUCAGAGGAUCAUCAGGUAUCCUGAACAGGAGAAUGUGGCUCUCAGACCUCUCACUGGGACUGCAAAGGCUUUGAGAGAACCAGUUGCAGCCUCCUGGAAAGUGUCAGGCUGUAGAGAAAAGGUCAGAGCUUCGGGCUAAGAAAACCUUCGGCAGGAGGACUAGGGUGCUGUGUGCUAGUCAGACAUAGACCUUGAAGGGCUGCUGUGACAAUGAAUUAUGUGCUUCAUACACAAUACUGUAUAUGAUGUGGGGAAGUAAUAAUGGCUAAUAUUUAUUGAGCAUUUAUUAUGUGCUACACUUUGUUGCAAGUAACUCAUGUAAUUGUUACAACCACCCUGUGAGGUGGGUGCAGUCGCCACCCUUUUGUGGAUUAAAAACUCAGACACCGGGCUUCCCUGGUGGCCACCGCCAUGAGAAGCCUUGCACCGCAACGAAGAGUAGCCCCUGCUCGCUGCAACUAGAGAAAGCCCGCGUGCAGCGACGAAGACCCAACACAGCCAUAAAUAAAUAAAUAAAUAAAUAAAAUACAAAACGCAGGCACCCAUAAUUUAUGUUACCCACCCAAAGAUUACACUGCUACUCGUGGUGUGGAGUCUGGAUUUAAACCGAGGCAAGUGGUUCCGAAGCCCAAGCAAUUAGCUGCGAAGCUUUAUUGCCACCUUGGCACAUAAUAGAUAGUAAAUAAAUACUAGUUUCCCAUCUUUUCACCUAAGAUAGGCUUGUUGAAUUGGAAGCCGUUUUCAAAGUAGGGGAAAAUAGGACUUCCCUGGCGGUCCAGGGGUUGAGACUCCACGCUUCCACUGCAGGGGACGCAGGUUGCAUCCCUGAUCGGGGAACUAAGAUCCCACAUGCCAUGUGGUGUGGCCAAAAAAGGAAAAAAAAAAAAAAGGAAAAAACUAAGUAGAGGAAAAUAGUGUCCCCCUGUUGCAGGAAGGGGGACCCCUUCCAGGGCCCGAGAGUGGGCUCUUGUCUAACACUCGGAAAUGAAUUGUCCACGGAGACACACAUACUGACAAAACAAGAGACAUUUUUGGGAAGGGGCGCCCGGGUGGAGAGCCGGAGGGUGAGGGAACCCAGGAGGACUGCUCUGCCACGUGGCUUGCAGUCUCGGGCUUCAUGGUGAUGGGAUUAGUUUCCGGGUUGUCUCUGGCCAAUCACUCUGACUCAGGGUCCUUCCUGGUGGUGCGCGCAUCACUCAGCAAAGAGGGAUUCCAGCGAGGGGGAUUCUGGGAGGUUGGUAGGACGUAUGGACUGGUAUCUCCUCUCUCCUUUUGACCUUUCCCGAAUUCUUCCGGUUGGUGAUAGCUUAUUAGUUCCACAUUCUUUACCAGGACCUCCUGUUGUACGAUAACUACUGCGAGUGGUUACUGUGGUGCUUGGCCAGGGCGGGCGGUUUCGGUCAGAAGGAAUAAAUCCAGGAAAUAGCUGAUUAAUAAUGAGUGUAAUUUCUUGGAUUUAAUGAUGCAAUAUUAACUCUAGGAGCACAGCUGGAUUUUUAACUAGUACUUAAUGAAAUAUGUAUUUUUAUGGAAAAAUUUAAAACCAAAACCACUGGAGAAGGAAUGAUUGUAAAAAUCAGAACACAUUAAAAGUCACAGGAGGGACUUCCCUGGUGGUCUGGUGGUUAAGACUCCACGUUCCCAAUGCAGGGGGCCCGGGUUCGAUCCCUGGUUGGGGAGCUAGAUCCCACAUGCCGCAACUAAAGAUCCCACACGCCGCAACUAAAAGAUCCCGUGUGCCACAACUAAGACCCCGCGUGGCCAAAAAUAAAUACAUAAAUAAAUAAUAAAAAAAAAAUCACAGGCAAGGGAACGAAUACGGUUUGAGCAUCUGCUAUGUCCCAAGCACGGCACUGGGUGAUUUACCAACCUGGUUUUGUUUAAUUUUCAUAACAUUCCUGAGAGAUAGAGAUUAUCCCAGUGUCUGAUGAGGGAGCCGUGGUUCACAGAGGCUCAGAAGCUUGCCCAAGAUCACAGAUGUGGCAAGUGUCGGAGCCAAGAGUCACAUAACUCCCACCGGAGUCCUCAGCUGAUGGCUUCCCCCUACCCCUGCCUCUGCUCCCAAAGUCACGUGGCCGUAUUCCUCAUGACUCCGUGACUGCCAAGAUUCACAAGUCAUGAAGUGUCUUUGGCUGGAAUUGUCAGCGCCUGUGCGGGGGUUCUUCGCGGAAACCCUCGUCCUCGGUACGGCGGUUGAACGAGUGCGAAUGUGUGUUGAACGGAGCUUCACCUUGGCGGCUCUGAGCCAGGAUAAAGCCUCCUCUGGCUGCUCCUGUCCCCCACAGCACUGAUGUCCUGCUGCUCUCUCUGAAUUUAGCAGGGAUCCAAGCUUUCGACUUAGUUCUGUUCGACUUAAAUGCACACAGGCCUGUGGUCCCUGGAGGGCCCAUGUGGUAGCCAUAUUGGGGUUUAUUUAUAUGAACCACCAAGGAGGCUCUGACAAAUGCUUUGCAAGACAGGAGUCAAAGCACACGGAGCUUUUUCUUCCGUUUCAGAGGGGAGGGGUGAUUAUCUUUUUUUUCGCCAACCCCGAAGGACUCUAGUCUUGAGUCCUAAGGGAGCAGGGCCUGGGAGGAAAACUGGAGAGAAUGGUUUGCUUAAAAUCUCUGUGAUGGGGACCCAUGUAUCACGCACGAUAACACAAAGGCCAUUUUGAGGCCCAUCCGUAGAGGCCCCGGCAGCACAUUGCUGAAAGUCUAAGGACAGUUGAGGUGUCCAAGGAGAGCUGAGAGGUCUCAAGUGUGACCACACGGGGCUCACAUCCCGGAGGGUGAGGG